GCCGGGCAUGGUGGCGCAUGCCUGUAAUCCCAGCUACUCUGGAGGCUGAGACAGGAGAAUCGCUUGAACUCAGGAGGCGGGGGUUGCAGUGAGCCAAGAUCACGCCACUGCAGUCCAGCCUGGGCAACAAGAGUGAAACUCUGUCUCAA
rnacentral:SRP_RNA from 2 species